rnacentral:lncRNA from 1 species
UUUCUUCUUAAAUACACCUAUAAAUAGUAUCAAUAUAUAUAUGUUAUGUUCUCCUCAAUCUUGAAUGAACAUUAACGUCAUGGAAAUCUCAUAGAAACAUUGGCUCAUCUUCUUCCAUGAAUGAACACCGUCGCUCCGCCGUCUGUUUCUGCCAACCCAGAUCAAAAUCACAUCUCCUCCUCUCUUGAUUUCGCGGUAGACUUAGUGUUGGGUUGCGGUUUUCUCUUCUCUCUGGUCGAUGAACAGUAACGCAAUUUCCUCUUUCUCGUUGAACAAUAAUGGGAUUCAAAGCUCUUAGGUGCUCUGAUUCAUUUACAAGCAUUGUUUUCUGACCUCGUUUGUUUCUCUAGAUUUCCAACGAUCUGGUUUUCACUUCGCCGUCAUUUCGCUUGCUAGAUCUGGUUUUCAAUUUGCAGCAGAUCUGGUUUUUGGGUCUUGCUUGAUUUAUGUUUUCUUAAUGUUUGCUUGAUUUUGGUGUGAAAAAAAAAUGUUUGCUUGAUUUUGCUAUGUGAUUUAUGGGUUCAAUUUCUUAGAUCUGGUUUUUGAAUUGUGGAUAUUAGUUUUUU